GAAAAUAAUGGGAAAAGCAGCGAAGGAGCAAUUGAAUAGAGCUCUGAGUGAGCAUCUAAACACCAUUUAUGAAACUCUUGAGGCAUUGUGUCAAACACCAUCUUCAUCUCUUGAAAAAGUCAGCUGGAAAGAGGUUAUUCAGAUGGGUGAACAGCUUUAUAAACAAGCCACUAUGGUUGGAAUGCUUUGGACUGGAGAAGCUCCAGAGGUUAAAGCACUGGAGGAGAACAUGGCUUCAUAUUUUAAUAUGCUGCAAGGGCUCCUUUUGCUUUCCCACUCAAGUACAGUUGGCGGAGGACCUACCCUGUGUUCCUGCAUUCAUGCAUCCAUUA
rnacentral:misc_RNA from 1 species